rnacentral:rRNA from 3 species
UCAACAACGGAUCUCUUGGUUCUGGCAUCGAUGAAGAACGCAGCGAAAUGCGAUAAGUAAUGCGAAUUGCAG